rnacentral:lncRNA from 1 species
UAUCCUCUUCUCUUGGUUGCACCAUAGGUUUGUUUUGGACCAUAGUCCUUAAACAAAAUAAAUUAAUAAAUGGAAACUUAAAGGUGGCAGGUAAAUAGUUUAUUUUCAAUAGAAAAACAAUGUCUCUAGUGCAACAUACUAUACAUUAUGUUAACUGCUGUGAUUCGGAUAAAGUAACAUAAUAAUAUUUAUUUCUAUGAGAUAAUUAUACUUUAGGAUCUUCUGUACCUUACUUUAAUAUUAAUUCUGAACAGUGCAGUAGCCAAAAUAAGAUGGGGUGACUUUUACCUGUUCUUGGAUGUUAAUCAAGCAACCAAGUGAAAAUAUUUUUUUCAUUAGAAAUGGAAGAAAAUUAUUCCUCAGAAGUUGCGUGUAUAUAAGGAGACUAUUCCGGUUGCUGAAUGCAAGGCUUCCAAUGUGGAUUUGUAGCGACAUAGUUGCUUGGUAUCUAUAACGUAUAUAUCCAAGGGCUCUAUUUCUCUUGCUCUCAGUUAAUAUUGUUGAAAGGGAUGUAAAGACCGAGCACUGCCUACUUAAUAUUUAAAGUCAUGUAAAAUUGCUAAACUGGUGUGCUUGAAGGUAGGUUUUGCCUAAUGAUGCUUUUAUGAUUGCAUUUUCCAUGUUGGAGCUGCUGCUCAUCUGUUACUUUCAUCUUGGGCUAUAAACUUACCAUUGCCUACUUAUUGGGCUUAUUUCAAGCAUUGUCACGGUUAUGUCAGCUGUGAUGGAUAUGUGUUUGGCUUCUUGAUAGAGCAUUGCUUCUUGCUUUGCUGUUCUAGUGCUCUAUUUGAUGCUACUUUGCUAUUGUUGCACCUAAACCUGGAAGCUUCCAAUAUCCAAGUUUAAAGGCAAGUGGUUUUAUUACCUUUCCUAACAUGAUACUCGAGCAUAUUUAAAUAUGUAAGGAUUAUUCACUUUAGCAUGAUCGUGGAGUGCUCAUUUACUAUUCAACUUUCUUUGCUGAAGUUGAAUCCUUAAGAGAAAAGGUCGCGGAAGAGGUUUCACUAUAAUUUAAACUAAUGACAAAUCAUUUGUUGUUUUAGAGCAUAGAUAUUUUAUUUCUAAAGGCAGAACAUGCAGUUUAAUUUUGAGGUCCGGCCAACAAAUUCAGACCAUUAUAUGUGCUCCAAGUCUCCUUCUAGUGUGAUUGUUCAAGUUCCUGUAUCUCCACUAGAAAAACAGGUAUAAUCCUUAAUAUUCUAUCAGUGAGUCCGAUAUGAUGAAAAUUCACAUCUUGUUCUGUAUGCCUGUUGAUUAAUGCAUUAUUGUUUUGAUUCUAAAUAGGAUAGCCAAUAUGCAUUGUUUCAUUUAAGUUUUACUUGUCCUGUACUAUUUAGUGGCAAAGGGGUGAUUCUGACUUUUUGUUUAUGGCACGAGUAUUGUGCAAUGCAUAAGGCAUGAUUGAGUGUAUGUCCCAUUGUAUUAGUGUGAUAGCAUAUGUUUUCUUUGGUCUGUCUAUGAUUUUUUUUUUUUUUUUUUGCAAUGUUGUGUUACCACGACAUCCAUAGUCCCAUUACGAAUAUGCAUUCGCUCUGUAUUUACUUAUUGGCUUCCUUGCUUGAAUUUCUUUCAAUGGUUUGCAUCUCUUCAAAAUGAUUUAGCAGCUACUUGGUGAAGUGGAAAUAACUUAUCCUCAACUAAAGGUACUUGUAUAAAAUACUUCUGAUGUAUUUUUGUUGAAUAGUCAUUUUGUUUCAUGCUUAUUCAUUUUCACGGUUGGCAAAGUGUCCAGGACAUGCAACAGCAUUGCACGUUAUUUAUAAAAUUGCAAUGUCGUAUUUUCUUUAUCACUCUAUGCUUCUUGAAGAUUGUACAGCUGUUUUAAGGACAUGUUCUGUAACUUUGAAGCAGAGAACUCAUUUGUGUUUUAAGUCAGUGAUCAUACAAUAUUGCAGCAAUGUUUCCUUGGGAGCUAAAUAUCCAUUUAGGUUUAGUCUAAUCAACAUUUUGGUAACUAAAUUUAGGGGUCAAAAGAACAUAGUAAAAACUCAUCAUUUUGGUCUAUGAAAGGACUAAGUGUUAAUUUUCGUAAAAUUAAGAACCAACAUAUAUAUUAGGUCAAGCCUUGGGGUAUUUUGUUAUUAUUUGAAUUUCAAGGAUUUGAUGGGACAAUCAUUAUGCUGGUGAAAUCAGUCUGAAUUUAUUUGUUGUGAAUGUAUUCAUUUUCCUGAAGAUGCUGCUGUGCACCCUUUUUUCUUUUAAUGUACUUGUUUAUACUGUUCAUUUCCCAGUUCAAUAAAAUUGAGAGGAUGGAUGCACGGCUGAGUCAAGUGGGGUAGUACUUGAAAAUUAAAUAAUUUUGUCUUGUUUAUAAUUAAAUUAUUGCAGAUAACUGCAAAGCUGUCUACAUCCUCAAAAUCUGAUUAUGAAUCUUUAUUGCAUGCAACAACUGAUCAUGUCAUUUGUUUUGAUUAUUUGUUGUGUGCUUACAUUACAUUCUUGCUACUUAAAUACUCUUGUGCAAUACAGAAGUUACCGGAAAUGCAUUACUAAGAUUGGUUACUAUGUUUCUGGAGAAGAAUCAUCUGCAGUGAUGGACGACAAUUGAUGAAACUAGUUGGGCAACAUUUAAGUUAUGGUGUCUCUGAGACCAAUUGUGGAUCUUCAAACAAGGUAAGCUUAGUUGCAAAGCUCUUUUAACUGUUUUCAGACAUUGAUUAGAAUUUCAAGUACUACAAUGGUUGAGAAGUGGAAAACUUUUCUACUGAAAUUGUUUUCCUUGCUUUGGCAAUAUGGCAAUAAUUGAGCUCCCAAAAACGUUUUGCAAGGAAUCGAGUUUUCUAGUUCAAGGCUUCUUCUUCUCUUGUUCUAGGAACAAUACACAAGUUUUGUAAUUCCGUUGUUGUUGCGGGUAUUGUUGAUAAAAGUACUAGGUCGGUGGUAUUGAUAAGAGUUUAUUUGAAAUAAUUUUGUAGUAGAAACAGCUAAAAAGCAGUUUCAUGUAACGCCAUUCUAGAAAGGAAAUUUUCCAAUCAUAAUGCAAUUUUGUGUUCCACUAUCAAGUGUGCAACACUACAGCUAGAUAAUUGGAAUCAUUGGCCACCAUCUAUCAUUGUGGGUAGUGACUUUGCUUCUCUGGAGGUUAAUAAACAACAAAUUUCAGUAAUUUUUUAUUCUGAAGGCUUAUCUUUUUAUCAUUUCUCUCCCAAAUGUAUUAUUAGUUCCAAAUUUCAAGAAUGGUUUGGCCAUCCAUUAGUUUAAGAAAGAUAGCAUCGCGCCGCAUCACACUGCCUAUGGUAGCUACUACAUCAUAUUAGCUACCAAGAACUAAUCGCAAUCGAGAAUCAAGUGCUGUUGAUUUUCUAUGUUGUUAAAAGGUUUGUAACUUUUAUAUCCUUUCCUAUGAUGAUUCUUUUAUUUUCAGUUGAUGGGUGAAUCAGUAUUUUGUAAACAAAAAAGCAGAAUUCAUGUUUGUGCUUGGAAAUAAGAAAUUAAAUAAAACCAAGUAUGACAUUCUUUGGUCAUGCAUUUCCUUUUUCUUGACUUUUAAUAUUUUCACAUUAUUGAUUCUUAUUUUAUGCUAAUAACCCAUGAGUGACCCAUCCACAUUGAUACUGCUGCUAUUUGCAGACAUAAUUAGGAGCCUGCAAGACACCGAGGCGUGGGCACCUAAAGACGCCUAAAAGUUUAAUAGUUGUGUUGUGCCAGCAGUCCUUCCAUCGCAGGAACCAAGUCCCAUUUAAGCUUAUCUAAAAUUUGAUUUAAAAAAAAAAAAAAAAAAAACUGAGUUUAGGGUUAAAUGGGAGAAAAAUAGUAUAUAUAGACCUUUCUUAAGUCGGUUUUGGUCCUAAUACUUGAGGAGAGAAAAAGUUAAAAGGAUGUGUUCAAUAAUAAUUUUUUAAACAGCUUUUAAAUACUAUUUUUUAUAAUUUUCAGUGACAUAACCUUUAAAUUAAAGGGUUAAAAUAGUAUUUUACGAAAAAUUGAAUCAUGUAAUAUUUAAUUUUUAAUAUUUUAUAAAUUACUAUUUAAACAAUUAAAUACGAUUAAAAUAAUCACCAACAGCCAAAUUUGCUGAACAAACAUUUACAAAUUUGCUUGCAAUGUAGUCUUAAAACGAUAUAGAGCAACGAGUUUUGUUUCGCGUGUUUUGAAUGAAAAUAAUUACUGUUAGAUAUCGAAGCUGGCCAAUAUUAGAAACUUUAAUACUCAAAUUUAUAGUAACGUGUAAUGCACAAUCUUACCACGCAGGCUUUCUUAUAUUAAAAACAUGUGCACAUUAAAAUGUUAUCUGUUUAUAUAAAUAUAUAAAAAAACACGUGAGCACAUUUAUUUACGUGUUACAAUAUCAAAAUUGAGGUGAUAAAAGAAUUAAUAAGUUUUAAAGUGCUGAGUUGGCAACUUAAAUAAUUUUGAAAUGCUAUCUUUCACCAUUUUUAAUUACAAUUCUAAACUAUUAAUUAUUGGAUUUUGAAACGCUACUUCAAAUAUUGAAUUUACCCAACCCCUCUAAUCAGUGAUUAUAAACUUGGAACACCCGCAAAGCUGGUUCACAACAUGCCCUAACCAACCUUAUAUCCAAGCAAAAUCUUUGGGCCUGGGCUGAAUUGGCCCAAACUUACUCUAUUUUUCUAAAAGUUUUUUGUCAAGGUAUUAUUAAAAAAACAUAUAAUAUUGCAUAAAAUUCACCAUAUAGGGCCGGGCUUGACUUGGACUUACUUCUCUAAACUGAGGCCCGACCCUAAAUCUGCUCAGGAUACGCCCACCGGUUAUUCAAGGGCUAAAAUUUAGGGCCGAAGUCUUAAUUUUUGCCUCAGAAGAUGGCAGCUUGGCCAUGUCCACCCCUUCAGAUGUUACUUCUUUCUUUCAAUGGCAAGUGUCAUGUUUAUUUCUAUUUUUUUUUUACACUUCUUUUUCAUACAUAAACAAGCUAAAUGAAAAUAUAUGUGCAUGAUAUAAUAUAUUCGGAAUAAUUAAUUUGAUCAGUGAUAAUUCCUGAAAAAAAUUUCUCUGAAUUUUUUUAUUUAUUUCUAGUGAAAGAUAUUUUUGAGUUUGUUUACCUGUCAAUCAACAAUAAAAUUGGAUUAAUUCACGAUUCAAACUUUUAAUGUAUGAUUCUUUAUAUAUUAUUUUUAUUUAUAUAGAAUAAUUAGUCUUAGUUUUGAGAUAAAUGAUAAUUUAAUUAAAUUAUAAUUGAUUUUAUUAUAAUUUAGAAAAAUUAAUUACCUUAUUAAUCCAUGUGUAAAAACAUCAAACGAUUUAUAUUAAAGGAUAAAUUAAAUCAAAUAAUAAAUUAAAAUCAUUAUUCAUUGUUUGAUAUUUAAAAAGUAUAUAAGUAUUUUUACCAUGUAAUUUUUUACUAUUUAUCUAACAAAUAAAUAAUAUAAUAUUAACUUAUGGACAUUGUCAUUUUCUCUCCUAUUUGCUCCAUUUUCUGUUCCAUUUGGAGGCAUUGCAUGUGGGUCCGAUAGCAUUAUUGCAUGUGGGCUCCACUUUAUCUUUUUCUUUGUCUUUUUGAAGAAAAUUUUGCCUACACUUAAAUGUAGAGUUCAAUUUAAAAUAGAAAUAAAGUAAAUUGAGCCAAAUUGCAUUUUAAAAAUGAAAUCAAUGUAAAUUGAAAUAUAGUUUAGAAUCAAACCAAUUCAAUCGGCGAAUUUUGGUCAGUUGUUGCAUUUAUUUUUAGUUUGAUUUAUUUUGAUUCAUUAUUUUAUAUUUGAUGUAAAAAUUAAUUGAAAUUUAAUUUUUCUUUUUUUUUUAUCGAAAUUAAGGAACAGCUCCUGAUAUUGAAAUAUUGAAAUUAAAACUUAAAUAUACCUCAAGUCAACAGAUUAUAUAACACUUAAAAAUUUAUUACUAUUUAUUUAUUUUUGUACUUUUUUCCCAAUAAAAAGACAUAUUUACCCUUAUUAAUCUCAAGUCCAGUCAAAUAAGGCUGGAGAUGACGCUAGUAGACUCUAACUGUAGACCAAAGAAAAACUUUCAAACAUUUGGAAAGUUAAAUAGAGAAAAAAACUUACACGUUUUAGGGUAAAAUUGAAAAAACUUUGAAGUUUAAGUGAUCCUCCAAACUCUUCGUUCCUUCAGAUAAGUCCUUUCGAUGACAGUUAAUUAUUUAAAAAAAGGGUAAAUUAUAAAAAUUAUCGGUGACAGAUGGUGGCAGCUGACGAUUGAUAAUAGUGGCUAUCGAUGAUUAAAAAUUUAAAAAUAUAAAUUGAUAAGAUUAUAAUAAUUUUUUGAAUGCCUAGAAAUUAUUUUUCUUAAAAAUACCUUAAUUUUUCUUUAAUCGAAAAAAUAUUUUCACUUAUUUUUCUCAACAUCUCAUUAAGAAAAUGUUUUGGGGAAAUAACCUAGUAUUUAAUGAGUUAUUAUUAAAUUUAAAUAGAGAAGAAAGAAGAGACAAGAUUGGUACGAGGGUACAAGGGAGUCGGAAUUCUGACAUGACAGCCAGCAUGGCUAUCUGUACGGAAAGCUAAUAAUGCCAUGUAAAGUAAAGAAACAUUUUUUUUUUGUAUUUUUUAAGGAUAUUUUAACAUUAGUGUGACAUAUAACUGUAUUUUUUUAUUAAUAUAUUAAGGCAUUAGUUUCCAAAAGAAAACAUUAUUUAAGAAAAUCUCAGAGUCAUUGGUUAAUGUUUCCAGUUGUUUGUAUAUAAAAAAAAAAUUGGAAUUUACACUUUUUAGAAUCUUUAUGCUGAAAAGCUAUAAGUAAUCUUUCUAAAUAACAAAAUACGCCAUUUAUAUUUUAUUUUUCACCCUUUAUAUUUAAAUUCUGAUUUCGCCUCUCAAUGGCAGAAAAAGGGCUAAGGGUGACUAUAGCCAUCUAAGUUCAAAAAUAUUUCUAAAUUUACUUUAUAAAUUAAAUAUAAAUUGGUGAAAUUGUUUUCACUUUGUCCCAUAAUUUUGAAAUAUUCUUUUUAUUCCGCAACGGCUUUUUAAGUAACUCUAGUCAAAACGUUAAAUUUUAUUAUUUAUAUUGUUCGAUAACCGUAGCGUUUGAACUAACUUUUAGAGAUUAAAAUAACGUUUUCAUCGAAUGCUAAAAGUUACUCGGAAGCUAAUAAUUAUUAGAACGACUAAUUUUGCCAAGACAUUGACUUUGCCUUCUUUUCUUUUGGCUUCGCAAAUAGCCCCUAAGAUUGAAUUUUGACUCCGCCACUGUACCCUAUGUGUUAUAAUAUUAUUUGAAUUAUUUUAACUAAACCUAUUAUAUCCUAAAGAUAUUAAUUUUUUUUGGGUAUCUUUUAAAUUAUUUUAAUAGUAAAAACAAUAAAAUUAAAAAUGAAUUUAAAUGAAUUUUCCAAUAAUUCCUUUUUGAAAAAUAAGUUAUGCUUCAGUACUAAAAAAGCAGUAGAGUAUCUUCUCAUUUUCCUUUCCAAAUUUUAUCUCCCAAUUUUCUUUUCUCCCUAAAAUCCCUCCAUCCAAACAGACCGUAAGCGAACAUGUUAAAAAUAUUUAAUCCAAGAAAAAAGAGUUAAAAUAUAUAAAUUAUAAAAUGGUCAAAUUUUUUUUGUUUUCCUAUUACUAUCAACUAAGUCAAUGUGAGAGGACUUUCACUUCACCAUUUUCCUGUUUGUUUUUCCAUAAAAAGAAUCUUUCUUUUUUGCUUUUCUAAACUAGGUUAAGAAAUAUCUCUCUCUCUCCUUCCCUUAAUACAACUGGUGGACUUUGUAUGCAAAGUGUCAACAGUGACAGAAACGACAGCCUCAGAAAAAAGAAAAAGGAAUUUUUUUUUUUUAAAAAAAAAAAAAGGAAAAAAGUAGAGGUAAAAUACAUCUGCUUGAUCCUUGUUGCUCCUACUGCUUUUCAAAUGAGCUCGGAUUGGUAGCUAGAGCCUAACCACAGGUAGGUUUUCUCAUAAAUUUCCUCUUUCUUUCAUUCUUUCUUUUUUUGUCUAUAAUUCUUUUUGAUUCUUGAUUAUCUAUAUUUCUUUCUUCUUCUUUGUAAAGGUCCUUUUUCUGUUAGGGUUCAUUUCUUAUCAGAUUCUUUGAUUUCUUUAUUUAUCUAAUCAUACGCAUAUAUUCCUUUUCAAGAUUUCCCUUAUCAGUUUACAUUUCCAUUUAAAGUAACAUUCUUUCAUUUGGAGUGUGUACUUUGCUUCCUCUUGUCCUCAAUUUUUUCUAAUCCUUUUGGAAAUCUUGUAGAUGGAGCUAAUGGGAAUGAUCCUGAGUCCGACGAGGUGCAACAGCUUUUUAUUCCCUUUCGAGGAUAUUGUGCUCGAAAAGGGGUUCGCCUCUGAUUGAUCUGUAAUUCUUGAUUAUAUAUAUAUAUAUAUAUAUAUUGCUAAAAUUGUUUUCCCCUUUCUUUGCGGUGUUGGGUUACUGGGUUUGCACUUCUUGUAAAGCAAGAUCUAGUAUUGAUUUUUUUUUUUUUUUUUUUGGUAAUUAAUAACAUGUUACCUCUUCCAACUAAAGCUCUGACUGAUUUUUCACAAUUCUUUAAUUUUAUUUAAUUAUUUUUUGAAGUUUUAGGUAAGGAAGUGCAGUCAGAUUGUUUCUUUCUUGAUUAAAAACAAAAUUCUCUCGAAAUUAUAAUUAAUUAUUUUGGGUGAUUUUGCAUGAAGGGUCAGUGUUGAAUUAAUUUUUUAUUUUCUUGGAAAAAAGAAAAAAUGACGAGGCAGAAAAUCCAGAUAAAAAAGAUUGACAACAAAACAGCAAGACAAGUGACUUUUUCUAAGAGAAGAAGAGGGCUUUUCAAGAAAGCAUAUGAGCUCUCCACUCUUUGUGAUGCUGAGAUUGCUCUUAUAGUCUUUUCUGGAACUGGAAAGCUUUUUGAGUAUGCAAGUUCAAGGUUCAUAUCUCUCUCUUUCUCUCUUUCUUGCCAUAUUUUCUUUCAUUUUGGGCUACUUUCUUGUGAUAUUUCAUUGUUCAAUCUUGGAUUACUUAUUUCUGGUUUCUUUUAAACCAACCAAACUGAAAAAAGAAGAGAAAUAGAUGAAAUAUAUGUGCAAUAGAAUAUUCUUUUGGUUUCUGUGAACUCAAAAUUAUAAUUUUCCUUAGCUUGAGUCAGAGAUGCCAUUUAUAUAUAGCUCUCAAGUGUUUGAUAUUUGUUCCAAAUCAUUUGCCUUCAAGGACUAGAAAUAUUAAUUUCUGGUCUGUGGUUUUUGUCAGAACUCAGAAGGUUUCUCUAUUCUAGGGAUGUUGUACAUCUUCUAUUCUUUUCAGAAGAUUAUAUAUAGUACUUCUACAUGCUAUUGGAUAUGAAAGUUACUUACUUUGAUUUACUUUUAGGCAAAGGAAUACUAAUACUAAUGUUAAUAAUUGGAUUUUUAAGCUAUAUUUAGGGAACUGAAUGAGGGAUAGCUUACUUGAACUUGCAGCUUGUUAAGAAAAGUUCGUGUUGAUUGUUCCAUAUGGAGAAAAGUCAUCAUUGUUCCAUAUUGUAAAACCUAUAUUCACUCACUUAGCUAAAGUGUGAAUCACUUUUUCUAUUUUUUUUUUUUUUUUUAAUCAACAUAUGCUCAAUGCAGCUGGUCAUUUUUCCUCCAUUUCAUUAAAAUUCUUUUGCAAUUAAUGCGGAAAAAAAAAAAAGAGACGUUCAUAUUGAUCAUAGCGUAUAUUUGAUUUCUACUUGAAGAAAUCUCUUCAACUAUCAUGCAUGGUUUUGUUACUGUAAUUUGAGUUUUUGUAUCCUUGUUUUGAUUCAUUUUGCAUUAACCAUAUUAACUAAAUUUUAGUCAAGCCAUAAGAAAUGGUAGAAUUACCCAUGCUAUGUGUUAUUGAGUCAAAAGAAACAAUAUGGCAUGAAUCUUAUUGUAGAUUAAGGUCAUGUUGAAAGGCUUAGUUAAUGAAAAUCAAAAUCCUUGUAGAUAAUAAAAAUCUUUUGUUUUCUUUGUUCAAACAUACAUAUUUGAUUUAAUCUGAGUGUGCACAUAUAGAUUGAGUGGAAUCACCCUUACUCAGUCAGUCAUUUCGGUUAAUGCCCUUCUUCUUUCUUUUAUUUCUCGUCCAUUCAGCCUUCCCUUUCUUAUGUUAGUGUAGUGUGCUUAGCGCUUCCUGAACCCUUCACAUUAUUCUCUUAUCCUUCCACUCACCUCUUUUUUCUGGAUAAAAUAGGGGAUUAUUAGAACCCCCGAAACUCUGGUUUUCCUGCCUACAGAUCUGCCGAGGGCCGAAAUGACUGCCCGCCAAGGUAUGCAGCGAGGGAUCGAAGGGGUGAUAGCGUUUUUGACCUGAAAGGAAUUGAAAAUGAAACAAAAAGUAUCUUUCAUUUUAAUUUUUUCUAUAAGUUUAAAUAUUUAUUCAAUUUAAAGUAAAAAUAAAAAUCAAUUUUAAAUAUAUGUUUGAUUAUUUGUUUUUUGCUCAUUCUAAAACAAAAUUGUUUUUGCAAAAUAUUGAUUGUUAUGGAUUACAUGCAUAUUUGCAUGAGAUGGAUCUUAUUAACUUGUGCAUUAAGUACUUCCUUUACUGCUUAAGAAUGCCUUCAAUGAAUACUCUGUGUGGUUUAUAUUUAUUAUAGCAGUUAGAGAUUAGUUGUAAUAAUUUAUCGAAUAAUUAUUAUAUGAAAUAAUACUUUUAUAAUCUAAGGUUCUGUUGAAGUUUGGUGAAGGGCCAGGAUUUGAUUGGAGAAAAGGGAGUAGAAUUAGGUGACUGAUUAAUUGGUAGAGUCGAAUUGCCAUUGGCGGAGAGUAAAGGAGCUUUAGCUUAAGCUUAAGGUUUUCUUAUUGGCUGUUUGUUUGAUCUGUUAACCGUUAUGGUCUUACUGUCUAAAACAGAAUUUGGAUAAAGCAGUAAUCUAAUCAAACUUAUAUAUGGCUACAAGCAACUGACAAACUAUUUUCUUUUUUUAAUUUCUUUUUGCAUUGACAAUUCUUUAUUCUUUUUUCACACAAUAUUUCUAAUUAAUUACUAUUUUAUAGAAUAAUUGGUCACUCGCUCUAUGAUAUUAAGGCAUUUGAUUGAACUGUUUCAUAUAGUUGAUAAUUAAUUUCUAAAUCGUAAUAAAAAGAAUUGAAAUUGUGAAGUUUAAAUUUGGUAAUAUAUGAAUUCUCCAUCUAGGUAAGUUUAUGUGAUUGUAUUUCCUUUUUUCCAUUUUAAAAUUAAGAAUAUUUUUCAAUCAGUAUCUAAUAUAACAAUUGGUUCAUUCUUUUAAUGUCUUUUAAGAUCAAAUAUUUUUUAUUUUUUUUAUUUCCUUCAAAAAGAAAAAAGAUCAAUUAUUUUUCAUUUAAAUAUGAAAAUUUUUAAUGCAAAUAUUUUUCUUCACAAGAAGGUUCAGAGGGGGGGGGGGGGUCAGGGCUUUAAUUAACCAAGAGCAAUAGACUUUGAUGAGAAAUAUUUGCAAACAGAAAAAAAAAAAAGGCAACUUCAAUAAUAGUUGAGGGAUGGAUGAUGAAUCAUUCUUGAGUCUGAGUUUCUACAAUAUGAAUCAGUCAAUCAGCCAUCUCACAAACUGAAGAAUUAGAUUGAAUGACUCUCAAAAGUUAGUAUAUAUAUAGAGAGAUAGACAUAUAUGCAGUGAAUCAUAUUAAAAUAUAUUUAUAUUUAUAUAUAAAUAUAAGAAUAAGAUUGAAAUUUCUCAUCUCUAUUUGAGAGAAUUUCCGGAUCUCCAACCCACUCUGUUAAAUAGUUGUGGAAACCCGAGAUGAAUGUCGAGGCCUCCCCCUCUACUUGCUGCUAAUUGCUAAUAUUUGAUAUAUACAUGCUAUCGGUAAAGCUUCAUCUUGCCUUCAUAGUUCCAUUUUCAAUUGAUUCGAGUGCAGAGAUGCUGCAUCACGAUCAGAAUCUGCAGUUAGUCUUAAGGUUUCAACCCAUUCAUCAACGGGAAGAAAUAAGAAAAAGAAAAACCAAAUAGCUUUCUCAUCCAGCAUUAGUCUGCAGAAAUGAAUUGAAAAUAGAAAGUAAUAGGUGAUAUGUAAAAUUGGAAGCUAGCAAAGUCAACUACUUGUGCCAUCCUUCACAUCCAAACAAGGUUUUGUUUAUUUCACAUACAAUUAAAAAUAUAUAAUUAAAAAUAUGUUUAAUGAUUUAUAUUUAUAAUAAUUUUUUCAAAAAAUUAUUGUAACACAUUUUAUAAAAAUUAAAGAGUAGCUUUCCUAUGCCAUUAUGCAAAAAUGAGUGUUGAUUGAUUUAAAAAGAAAAAAAAAAAAGCCUUGAUCAAGUGCAUAUAUCAGAAUUUUAGAGAUUAAUUUAAAAGUUCAAAGACUUCAUACAUAACUUAGAUACUUGAACUUUAUUAAAAAAAUUUAAUGACACUUUCUAUUUUUAGGUUCAUCCAUUAAACCCUUCAACUAAUAGAAUUCAAUCACUUUGAAUACUUAAACUUAUAAAACCACACUGACAUAGUUAUGAAAAGCGCGCCUGACUCAAGCCGUAGAUCAUAGAGCCUCAAGAGUUGAAAGGCGGGCGACCUUACUGAGGUGCACGCCUCUUAAAAAAAAGCGCGCCUUUUGUUUUUCAACAUGUCUUUUAGGGUUUUUCUUUUUAAUAUAUGUGGUUGUGUUUAUAUGGACUUCUAUUAAUAAAAAAAAGUAAGAGAAAUAGAAGAUAUUGAUAGAUUUGUAGAAGAAAAAACGCAGAUCCACCAUGCAUCAAACUCCUUUACACUAGUUCAUCGAACAAUCAAUUAAAGCCUUCACAAAGAAGUCUUCUCUUCCAAAUCAGCAAUUCAGCAAUUCACCAUACAUCAAACUCCUCUAUACAUCUCUCAACUAUUCUUUGAUUUUUUCUCAAUUUCCUUCUCUUAAUUUGAUUCAACAAUCAGCUUCUACUUCCUUCUAUUUCAAGUCUAAUAGCUUCAAUUAUAGGUUGCUAUGCUGCUGAAUUUUCUGCUGAUUUGUGUUGCUGAAUUGAGGCUAAUGGUUAUUACUUUUAGUUUAGUGUUGCUGAAAUUAUUAUUUAUUUAAAGCUAUGGUUACAAUUCUUAACAUCUUAUUAUGCAUACUUUCAAUUAUAUUUAGAUAUUCCAACUAUUACUAGUGUGAUUUAAGAGUUUAUAUGUUUUAUAUUAUUAAUAUGAAUUUUUGUUCAAUUUUAGAAUUAUUUUAUAUUUUUCCUUUUUUUUUUUAUUUUUGCGCAUCACGUCGCUCAGGGGCGCGCCUUUGCCUUGCGCCUUGCGCCUUUACCAACUCUGCACACUAAUUGAACAUAAUUUUAUAUAUUUUUCCAUCACGAAGCAUAUAUUCUCUCUGUCCCAAAAUAUAAGUCGUUUUGGUUUGUUAUUUUGUUUGUAUUUCAAGAAGUAAUAAAUAAUAUUUUUUCAAUGUUGCUCUUGUUAAUACUAAAUAUAAUAAAUACUUUACAAGCAAAUAUUGAUUUUGAGAUAAAUGGUAAUUUGGUCAAAUUACCUUUGACUUUGUUAUAAUCUAGGAGAAUUAAUUGCUUCCUUACUCAUUGUGCAAAAACCUUAAACGACUUAUAUUUUGGGGCAGAGGGAGUAUUUAAUAAGUAUAAUACUUUUAUGCAUCUUUUAAUGCAAAUUAUUUUCAAUAUUUUAAAUAUUUAACAAGUGUUCAGUAAAUACAAUUUUAUAAAUUAAAAUAUUUAAUAAAUAGGUGCAAUUUAAUAAGUCUACAUUAAAACUAAGGAUGUUACAAGAUUUUCCUUUGACGUUUGGAUUCAACUUUAGUGAGGUUCAUAACUAAAUAGGAUAUAAAGCAAUUUUUAUAACCUUUAGUAUUUUUUUAUCAGCAAAAUUUUUAAUUUUAUUAAUUAAAGUUACUAAGAAAAAACUUAAUAAAACCUCAGCAAAACUAAACCUAGGCCAAUACGCUUUCUUCAAAACAUCCAAUCCUAGUCGAAGAAUGUUAAGUUAAAAAAACUUGGACUGAAAUACAUCAAUACAAAUAACAACGCUAGAAGAUAAAUUUCUUGAGAGAAGAAACUAUAACACUCCUAACAAAGUUUUUGUAGUAAGUACAUAGUCCUUUUUCAUAGUGUUCUUUUAAACUAUUAUUAAUUAUACUUGAAGGUGUAAAAAUGAGUUGUUUCUAAGAUAUAUACUUCUAAAUAUGAAAAUAAUUGCAAUCAUAUAUGUACAAAGAAAUAUAUUUAGAGUAUAUUUUGAUAAUAGUUUUUCAUGAUUCUCUCAAAGAAAAAAAUUUCAAGAACUAUAAUGGGUCAAUUUCUCCAAGUUCUAUAAUGUUUUGCAAAUUCUACCAUAAUUUAAAAUUUAAGUAAUUUGAAAGAUUGUUUAUAAUUUUUUGUCUACCAGUCAAAAUUAUAUAUAAAAAAAGAGAAUAAUUUUCUGUUUAUAAUUGUUUGUCCACCAAUCAAAAUUAUAUAUAAAAAAAGAAAAUGUUUUUCUGUUUAUAAUUGUGUCCACCAGUCAAAAUUGAAAAAAGAAUAUUGAAAUAUUAUUAACAUAAAUAAAAAAUAACCUUUUAAUUUUGUCUAUUUCUCUAUCCUUCCACCCACUCAUUGUUUCUUGCUCUCUUUCUUUCUCUUCACUGUCUUCACCUUCUUAUGAAUCAAUUAAUAGAAACACUGUCUAAUACUUUUGUUUUCAAGUGUGAAAUCCAAUUAUACAAGUAAAUAUCAAUUUAAGAAGCUAUAAUGCAAACCCCACCAUCACUAAAUACAUCUCAGAGACUCCUUAUCAUAGUUACUACGUCAUUGCCACCACCAUCAAAAUAGUCAAGAAAUAUUUUAUAUUUUAGACUGUGUUGAUAAUAACUUUUUAAGUAACUUUUAUCAUUUUGACCAGUCAAAAUGCUAAACGCUACUUAAAAGAUUAUUCAGUAACAUAGCGUUUUGACUAGUUUUUAGAGAUUAUGGUAGCGUUUUGUGAAAAGCUAACUCAUCUAAUGUUUAGCUCAUAAGAAGAUAUUCAAACAACUAAUAGCUGAACGCUAUUAAAACAGCUUACAGCUACAAAAAUAGCUAAUUUUAUCGAACAGACUUUUUUUUUCUAUCUGCGAGAGAGGGAAAGGUAGGUAUGAUGGAUUGGUGAAAGUAGAAAGGUGAAAAAAAACAAAAAGAAAUUAACUUUUUGUUCAUGUUAAACAUAAAAACUAUUCAUUUUUAAUUUUUGAACCAAUAGAGUAUGAUUGCAAAUAACUUUCCAAAUUAGAGUAUAAUACGGUAAAAUUACAAAAAUAAAAAACUUUGAAAUAUAGUUACCCAUUAAGCCUCCAAAUACAUGAGCUUUAUGAUUUCCUUUUAGGCAAUAUUUUUUUAUACACUAUCAAUUCUCUACUCAUUUAUAUAUAUAUAUAUAUAUAUAUACCUUUGUUUUACAUUUAUCUGAAAUAUAUGUUCUUAACGGACUUUUUAAGUUAGAUGUUCAUAUUUAAGCCUGCUUGAUAAUAUUAACUGUUUUAGUAGUUGUUAACGUUGUUUUAGUUGUUAGUUUGUUUUGGUUAGCUUUUUUAGUUGUUCAUGUAAGCGUUUAAAUUAGAAGUGUUCAGUAAAAAUAUCUGAUUAAUUUAAAAUAACGAAAAAAAGAACAUUAAUUGUUUAAUUAGCUAAAUUCAAGGACUAAAAACUAGGCAUGAUUCUCAAAAAUAUUUGAUUAAUCACAUGAGAAGCUAAGUUUUAGAGUAUUUGCAGUUUCAUAAAAAAACAGUUUACACUAAAAGUUGACUCAAAAGUUGUUGUCAAACAAGGUCUCAGUUGGAGGAAAUAAAUUAUAACCAAAAAAGAAAUUCUAUAUAUUAUUUUCUUCAUUUAUACCUUGGUUUAGACUUCAAUUUUUUUAAAUUCAUGUAAGCUUAUUUAAUAUAACGUUCCUCUAAUUCUGUUUGUCAUUCGAGGUUUAUUUGGCUUUUCUUUCUUUUUUUUUUUUUUUUUUUCUCAUAAAGUAAAAAUUCUUCCAAGCAUACACCUUCUUCUAAAUACAACUUACUUGUAUUACAAUUUUUUUAGCUAAUAUUGAUGAAAUAUUUUUCAAAAUUUUUGCCCUAAUCUUCCAAUCUCCUUAUAUUGAAUUACAUAUAUAUAUAUAUAUAUAUAUAUAUAUUCUUUUAAAGUGAAUUUUGGAAAUCAAUAGUUAUAAUAUACUUUCUCUCUCUAUCAAGUCUGUUUCUUUCUCUUCUUCUUGAAGUCUCUUGAAUUCUCCUUACUCCUCUCAAUCAGUUCCUUCUCUUCUUUUUCUUUCUCUAUGAUUCUCAGUUGCCAAACACUCUUAAACCCUAGAUUAGGAUAUAUGUGACAUCUAAUCCUAUCAAUUUCUUGCCCCUUGUGCAUGCCCUUCCAAGUUAUCAACCUAACCGUAAAGCACUCUUUUUGGUAUGUUAGACAGAGUAAUAGAUGAUAGUUUUCUCCAUCCUUAUAAACUCAGGAAAUUAUUUACCUAAACUGAGUUAAUGCAUCUGAUAAAUCUAAUUGAUUAUGAAUAGGGUAAACAGAGUUUUGAGUGUUUUUCGUUAAAAAAAUGGUAUAGUAAUAAAUAUUGACAGGUAAGAUGAAUAUAGAUAAAUUUUUCUCAUAAAUCCAAAGCCCAUCGAAAAUUUGAAUUUAAGACUUUCAAAUUGAAAUUUCGGAAGACUAUUAAGUUAUCUCCUUCCCUUUACUUUAUCAACUCCCAAUCAAUUUGGUAAAUAAAGCAAGCAUUUUUCAGAAAGUAAGAGUAAUGCAUACGUAAAAAAGGGUAAAUUAGGCUAUUGCAAUGCAUACCGCUAAUAAAUCUUUCUCAAUUGAGGUGCCUAAACAUACGAAUCUUUCUAACUUUUCUUCUAUUUCAAUUUAUUGUUUGUUUUAUUAUGGUUUUUGUAAUUAUACCAAUAAACAAAAGAAAUGACUUGGCCUAUCUUUUACUUUUGAAGUAUGAACCAGGUCAUUGGAAGGCGCAAUCUACAGCAAAAGAACUUUGGCAAGUUCGAUCAGUCUUCUCUUGAACAGCAAGUAAGACAUCAUGGCUUCUAAAAUUACUAAUUGCCAUUGUCAAACAAUAGCUAUUUUCAAUGUUUACUAUUUAAGUAUUUCAAAGAUAAUUUCUAAAAUACAUGGUCACUUCUAGAGAAUCAAGUCAGAAUCAGAACCAUACAACUAUAUAUAUAUGUAUAAAUAUAUAUUGUCAAGUUACCUUAAAAUAUACUUGGAUGUAUUUUAAGCAAUAAAUAGGAGAUUGUCGAUAUAACAAUCUAAAAAGCAAUUGUAGCUAGUAUUUUUCAAUUUAUUUUAAUUGCAAAAUUUAAUAAUUUUAAUAAAAUUAAGUAUAAUCCAUUCAAAAUAUAAAGAAUUUAAAUGAUUGUUUUUUAGAUUUUAAAUAUGUUAGGUGUAAAUUUACAAAUAAAUUUCAUACAAGUUUGCUAAAUUUUUAUAUCCCAGAUAGCUUUUAUUUUAUUAUUAUUUUCUUUAAUCCAUCCCCCCCACCCCCCACAUAAUCUCUUAUUAUUUUUAUUAUUUUUUUAUAAAUAUAUGCCUUAUUUUCUUGUAGAAUUCAUUUUUUAUCAUUUGUUAUAAUUAGCUUUUUAUUUAUUUUUACCAUUUCGUAGAAUUCAUUUUCCUCAUACUAAACAAGCACUCAGUAUUAUUUGUUCCACAAGUAAUGUGACUUGAAAGCAUUUACAUAUCCCCUUUUAGCUCGAAGAUGGUACAUUCACAGCCCUCAGCAAGGAAGUAGCAGAAAGGACACUUGAAUUAAGGUAACGUGUUUUUGGAAUUCUGUGUACCUUCUUAUCUCAAGAAGAUUUCAAUCUUAUUUAACUUGAGGUUUUCCAGAUUUUUUUACCUACUAUUUACGAGGUAAGACGGAUGUAUUUGGAGGACAUGAUGGUUCAGGUUUAGAAACUUAAUAAUGCUAUGUAUUUUCUACAUUUAAAUUAAUAAAAGAAUUUUAUAUUGCUGAUAAAAAAAAAUGUAUAUCUAAGUUUACAUACAAUGUUGAGAUUUGUUUCAUUUAAUGCAUGAUAGGCGUAUGAGAGGAGAAGAACUCCAGCGAUUGAGCAUUGAGCAACUACAAGAAUUAGAGAAGUCACUUGAAAGAGGCUUGAAACGAGUUCUGGAAACUAAGGUUUAUGCAUUUUUAUAUUGUUUAUAUCAAUUUUACUUGGUUUCUUCUUAAACUGAUAAGUUACCCUAAUAGUUCUUGAUUUCAAACCCUAAUAGCCAGAUUGACGAAAAGAAAAAGAAAAGGACUAGUUAGUGAACUUUCAUUGUUGCAAUGUUAAUUUUCUCUUUGAUCCAUCUUAACCAUGUUUUGUGAUUCCAGAUCUUGACAAAUUCCAGGGAAUUUAAGGCUCUUAAAUCCAGAAAUGGCUUUUAGAAUACUUUUCCAAGUUGAAAACUUGGUUUAUUAAUUCGACUAGAAUGUGAUGCAAUUUUAUUUGUGGUGUUUCAGAGUCAUGUAAUUACAAAUGAGAUCAAUGCCCUCAAAAGCAAGGUCAUAUGCCCAUCUUUGAACUGUAACUGUUGCUCGCCUUCCAUGUAGUUUUAUUGAUGAUGAUCAUUUUAGAACUGUUCUCAUAUUCUAUAAUAUAAUUUCUGAGUUUGAUGGCGUUGGUUUAUUUGCUUUAUUAUUAUUAUUUUUUUUUAAAAAAAAAUUAUAUCUUUGCUCUUUUUUUCCCUCAUAAUUUGCAGGAAGCUCAACUAAUAGAAGAGAAUGAGCGACUAAAGCAACAAGUCUGUGAGAUCUUUUAUUUUCAGUUCUUUAUUUUUACCAGUACUCUAAACUAACUUCUGAGUUCCUUUCUGUGUAUUUGUAUGGUAGAUAAUGAAUGUACCAAUGGUCAGACUGCAUUUAUCUGAACCAGGACACUCAUCAGAUUCCAUGAUCACUAAUACCAGCAGCUCUGCAGAUCCUUCUCAAGACUAUGAAGGAACCUACACUUUCCUUAGAUUGGGGUUGGUUUUUUACACUCAGUUCAUUUCCUUGCAAGAUGAGUUAUUUUUAUCCUCUUCUCUUGGUUGCACCAUAGGUUUGUUUUGGACCAUAGUCCUUAAACAAAAAUAAAUUAAUAAAUGGAAGCUUAAAGGUGGCAGGUAAAUAGUUUAUUUUCAAUAGAAAAACAAAUCCUCUAGUGCAACAUACUAUACAUUAUGUUAACUGCUGUGAUUCGGAUAAACUAACUUAAUAACAUUUAUUUUUAUGAGAUAAUUAUACUUUAGGAUAUUCUGUACCUUAACUUUAAUAUUAAUUCUGAACAGUGCAGUAGCCAAAAUAAGAUGGGGUGACUUUUACCUGUUCUUGGAUGUUAAUCAAGCAACCAAGUGAAAAUAUUUAUUUCAUUGGAAAUGGAAGAAAAUUAUUUCUCAGAAGUUGCUUGUAAUAUAAGGAGACUAUUCCGGUUGCUGAAUGCAAGGCU